GUCAAGCAAGGUUUGAGCUAGGCACAAGAGCACCAUUUAGUUUUAUUUUGUGAACACCUGGAAACAUUCCACAGUUAUGUACAAAUCGUUGCCUUGAGAGGAACGCCAGACUGCAAGCUAUUCUGAGCCGGGAAGCCAGCAAGCUAGUAUGAGGAGAGAGACACCAGAGCAUUUAUCAAAGCUGAAUCAGAGGCAGCAGAACGGGAACGAGGACACUCAUAGCUUUUUGAUUUUGUUUCCA